rfam:Blautia sp. CAG:52 genomic scaffold, scf160
GGGCUUGUACUGGUUUCGACGGGGGUUUUGAAGUUUGGGAAGCCAUUCGCAGCUCUGGGACUGCGUCACCAACCUGGAAAUUAAAUUUAAACGCAGACGAAAAUUUAGCGUACGCUGCCUAAUGGCAGCUGUCGGUUUCUGAGUCUCCCGCAGCUUAGAUCCCGGCAUCAAACUUAGCGGGGCACUUUUUCUUCAAAGCUUUGAGAAGAAAAAAGAAUUUAUGAAGCUACUGAGGUCUGAAGCCUGUCAUCCGGCGUCGGGUUAAGGGAAUGUCAAAAGAAUGACUGUAAUGGGAGAUGCCUGAAUGGAUAGGCUUUCGGACAGGGGUUCGAUUCCCCUCAGGUCCAUAU